CGGAGGUGUGCUUAUCUGGAUGGGUCAUCCUGUGGGGCGGGUGAAUCAGGUCGGUGCAGAUCAGUGACAGGCAGCGCUUGAGGUCUGCGGACCAAUAUAGCAGGCACCAGAUUGGGUACAGUUUUGGUUUGGUUACCUUGAGGCAUACUCAGCUUUGCAUUCCUUACAGUAGCAGUUUUGUUUAUUGCUCAUUUAUCUGUUAUAGCUACUGUAGUUUCUUCGUAUCAGCAUCUAUAUUUGUUUACCAUAUUGUUGUUUAUCUCUUCCUGAUCCGGUGAGUACUCCUCGCCUUCAUCGGCUUGCGGUACCCACUGGGAGGGGAGACAUGUUUACAUAUUCUCACCUCCCCCACCAUUUUUCAGGUAUUGCAGGCGGUGAGAGUAGAGACGAGACGUGAGACACGUUCGUAAUGGUCGCUAGAGCUUCCGACCUGGCUUGUUGGUUUAGUUCCUCCCCUGUUUACUUUUGUUAUUAAUAGCUUUGAUAUUUCAUGAUUCAGUUGGUUUAUGUUAUUCGAAUUCAUGUGGUUUUGAAUGAACUAUAGAACUUGUGGAUUUUGUGAAAAGGAAAAAUAGUUUUCUACCCCUCGUGGUAGCGUUUUAAAAAGAAAAGAUUUCCGUGUGGGAAACAGCUUUCAAAAGAGUUUUUCUUGUGGUUUUUAUGUUUAAACACUGAAUGGUAAAUAUCUGGUGAAUGGUGAAUGAAUGUUGAGAAUUGUCUAUUCAUAUAUUGUGGUUGUAUCCUGGUUAUACUCUGUUUGGACAUCUUGUAUUUGCGCGACGCCGUGCAAAUACAGAGGAGACUCUGUCCGUGUGAACAGUGAAUUUUCUGUAUUUGUGGCGGAUCUGGCAUACCCUGGGGUCAGAUUUUAAAAACAAUAUAUAUAUUCUAGUAACUUCCGCUGUACUUUCAAUCUAACAGGGACCCCGGGGUGUGACACAAGCAUCAGCUCAUUUUACAUCACAUUUACAUUCAUUUGCUUCCAAAUACAAUCAGCUUAUUACAAAUUUGUUUCCUUUUUUUCUUUCUACACCCCUAAGUUAUGCUGACUUGGGGUACUUCUAUCUCUGGUCUCAAUGGUAGGGCGCUAACUACCGAGCUACGCCCUUUCCUCGCGCCGCCGCGCCGCUCACGUAUAGACCUAAAAAAUAUGGGGGUGAGAACUAUGUACAUAGUUCCCAAUGGGUAUGGC
rnacentral:lncRNA from 1 species